ACGCUCGACACCUACGGGAAGCAGCAGUAGGGAAUCUUCCACAAUGGACGCAAGUCUGAUGGAGCAACGCCGCGUGAGCGAAGAAGGUUUUCGGAUCGUAAAGCUCUGUUGUUGGUGAAGAGGGAUAGAGGUAGUAACUGGCCUUUAUUUGACGGUAAUCAACCAGAAAGUCACGGCUAACUACGUGUCAGCAGCCGCGGUAAUCUGAGCGGGCUGGCAAGGC
rnacentral:rRNA from 1 species